rnacentral:tRNA from 1 species
GGAGAAAUGGCUGAGCGGCUGAAAGCGCCUUCCUGCUAAGAAGGUGUACUGAGUUAAUUGGUACCGAGGGUUCGAAUCCCUCUUUCUCCGCCA